GAUGAAGAACGCAGCGAAAUGCGAUAAGUAAUGUGAAUUGCAGAAUUCAGUGAAUCAUCGAAUCUUUGAACGCAUCUUGCGCUCCUUGGUAUUCCGAGGAGCAUGCCUGUUUGAGUGUCAUUAAAUUCUCAACUACACUGACUUUGAUUGGUGUGGCUUGGAUUUGGGGGGAAAAUUGUUGUGGGCUUUUUGUAUAGUCUGCUCCCCUGAAAUUGAUUAGCGGUACCUUUGUGGAACUGUCUACAGGUGUGAUAAUUAUCUACAUCUUAGACAUCUGCUGGAAUGCUGCUUUCUAAACCUUACUUGUAUUGACAAUCUUGACCUCAAAUCAGGUAGGACUACCCGCUGAACUUAAGCAUAUCAAUAAGCGGAGGA
rnacentral:misc_RNA from 1 species